CAGUCGCCACGGGAACACGGAGGGUGCAAGCGUUAAUCGGAAUUACUGGGCGUAAAGCGCACGCAGGCGGUCUGACAAGUCAGAUGUGAAAUCCCCGGGCUUAACCUGGGAACUGCAUUUGAAACUGUCAGGCUGGAGUCUUGUAGAGGGGGGUGGAAUUCCAGGUGUAGCGGUGAAAUGCGUAGAGAUCUGGAGGAAUACCGGUGGCGAAGGCGGCCCCCUGGACAAAGACUGACGCUCAGGUGCGAAAGCGUGGGGAGCAAACAGGAUUAGAUACCCCGGUAGUCCCUGUCUCUUAUAC
rnacentral:rRNA from 1 species